rfam:Sarcophilus harrisii ctg7180001402648, whole genome shotgun sequence.
CGCGAAAGUGAUGAGUUGCACGUUGGUGUGGCCACAGCAUCGGGUGAUGUGGGCUGCACUCAGUAGCAGUCUGGUGACAAACCAAGUGCACAGGGGCCAUCUGACUCGCG